rnacentral:misc_RNA from 1 species
AAAAAAAAAAAAAAGAAAACAAAUGUACACUUUUGUCUCAAAAGGUAUCAUAAUUACUUUGUUUACACCCCAUUAACAUUGAUUACCUUUCUUUUAUCAGAUUCUGACAAAGAAUAUUGUUAGUUCUGGUCCAUUGUUCCCAUCAGGAUUCAUUAUAUAAUAUGUCUCUGAAUCUUUGGACCCGAUCACACGUUCAAAAUGUGCUCUCAUGUACGUUUGUUCGCCAUCCGGCUGCUCUGUUCCAUCGUCCGGUAUCACCCCUGCCCCCAUUGAUAUCACGUGCAAGACUUGCAUUGCGAUCAAAUUUUCAUCUGUUGGUUCUCUCUUCACCCCAUAACCUGAUUUUUUGCCAUUACAGUACAUUGUCCACAUAGGUUAAUCUAGGAUCUUGGUCUUCUCGUUUGGCUUCUUUUCGCAUUCCAGGGCAAUCCUCACCAGCCCCAUUCCCAUAUCUUGGAAGAGUUUUCCGGUGUGUAUUGUGAGUUCAAGCAAUAGAAUAGGGAGGGAGCUAGGAUUUUCUUGGAUGGCUAGGUUAAUCCUAGCUUUACGAUGGCCAAAUAACGUCCCGGUCAUGCGUGUCCCACCGUGGAUGUUCCCGUCGUGGAGGCGGCUUCCGUUGAGUGAUAAAGGAAUCUUGCAAGUCGGCGUUAUUAUAGGAAAAGACCGGAAAACUGCUCUGAAAAGGCGGAAGAGCUUGGCAGACUUAGAAGGGCCUAUCUUGUUGGUUGGCUGUUGGAGGGAGAUUGCAGGCCGGGAAGGAGACCGUGGUGAUCUUGGAGACGAGGGCUCAGACUUCGGUGAUAAGGGAGUGUGUUCCGGCGAGGACUGCGGCGGUAGUUGUGAUGGUGGUGGUGAAGCGUUUGCCAUGGUACGUAGGGGGUAAAAAGAAGGUGAGAGGUCGGGCGGUGGCAAGUGUUUGAUGGGAGUCUUGGAGGGCUAGGGCUAGCUUAGUGAAGUCGUGGAGGUGGUGGUGGUGGAGCGGUUAGAUAAAUUAGAAGAAGAAGAUACAAGAGAGUACCGUCAGUGCCAUCGGAGAGUAGGUGAAAGCCCGCACCUAUGAGUUUCCAAGUCACACACAGUGGACAGCGUGGAUUGCAUUGCAUGAAAAAAAAAAUAUAUAUCAUUCUAUUUCAACCCAUUAAACUAGUGGAAAUUGUUAUGGUCUCAAUUCAGCACCAAUACACAAUAUAAAUUGUAUAGAAAUACAUUGAAUGCAGCACCAUUUCAUUCUCAUAUUCCUAUUAUCUUUUAUCCUAAGGCUUACAAUCAGCAGCAGUGAAGCAAUAAACCAGACUAUGGCAUAAUUAAUAGGUGUGCAGAUCAGUAGAGCUAUAGAUUUCAAUUACAAAUAGAAAUAACAGACGCAUAUUCAUUUUUCUCACAAGUUAACAAAAUGGUUUAUAGGCAUGUUACAGAAUUGAGCCAAGGGAAGGCAGCAAGUCCUCUAACCUAGCAUAUAUGUAUACCUACCGGUAUAGUGAAUCACUUGGUAUAUACAUUAAGAAAUGAAACACAUUGCAGAGAGUUUGUCAAGAUCUAUUUUUCCUUGACACAGUACAUAUUUCAUGGAAUCUCAUAGUUUGUUUCAUUCUAAAAACUAGCAUCCCCAAAACAUUACCAUAAACUUUAUUACAUUAUCUUCUCUGCAGGAUUUCCAAUGAUAUGUAGAUCUUGAAUUGCCCUUGUUUGCCAAUAUCCUUGACAAAGGAUUGGAACCUCGGUAUCACUUGAGAAAAUUGGAUAGUGAGAAAGAUUAUGAAUUUGUGGUUGAUUUGAACUAUAGUUGCAUGGUCAGGUUGCUUUGAGACUUUCUUGUUUGGAACUUGCUAAUGAUGAGACAGGAAAAUCAUGUACAUUGAAGUAUGUCUUGUUGAACAUGAGAUUUGUAAGGGCUCUGUCAAUGGCGUUGGUUUCCAAUUCCAUAGUUUUCUUUCGUCCAGGCCUAAAUAUAAGGUAUACAUAUUAAUGCAACAAGGACAAGGACACAAAUAACACAAACGGAAGAGGCUUGAUUGAAUUUGAUUCUUGACACUAAUAAAGAAUCCUACUCGAUUUGAUAGUUAAAAAAAAAAAAAAAACUUGAGAUGAAAAUUGAUUAGGUCAAUCCUCUCAGCAAAAAGUUCAUGGCUACUACUGGCACCUUCAUUCAUGUACACAGACAAAGUUACUCCUUUCAUUUUUUCUGCAGUAAUUAAGGUGAACAAUGAUCCACAAACCAUUUUGGUUCAAACUAACAAAAUGGCAGCACCCCAUUUCUGUAGUUACUUGGAUAGCCAAUCCUCAAACACAACCAAUUCACAUGGUACAUCAGAACCACCUUAAAAUAUUGCAUUCAAGCAAAUCACAUUCACGACCAUGAACAAACUAGACAAAAGAAUAGAGAGACAGAAAAAUAAAUGGAAAAUAAUAUGCAAGUACCUCAUUUUGUCUUCUUGACAUGUCCAUGGGGAGCUUUCCAUGGAAAGGUUUCCAUUUCGGUCCCAUGUCACAUGUUGGCUUGAGGUAUUGGCCAGACGGUAAAAGGCAUCACGAAAACACAUUCGAGUCUUAUCUGUCAACUGUGCCAUCACCAUUGCUAGCUCCUGUAAAACAGUUUCUUCAAGAGAUGUUUCCUCAUCCACAUGUUCAUUCAAACCUUUAUGCUCAGAAGGGGCCAAGACUUUUAUCAGUGAUGCCUAGAACAAAAACAAUGCAAAUCAAAGGAUUAAAACGGGUAUAGUAAUAAGCACAAUUGUGACAGAUCUUAAAUCUCAGCUCUGCUGCUAAAGUAACUGAAGGACUUGGACUGGGUCACCUAUGUGAGUCAAUCCAGAUCCAUGGUCUUUUAUUUUGUGAAAUAAAAUAAAAUAAGAUAAAAAAGAGACAAAAGGGUAACUGCAUGGUAGUUACGCAAAUCCACGGAAGAAGACAUAUCCAUUGACCAAAAGGUGGCCAUAUCACAUAUAUAUAGCCAAACUUCUUGCUUUUGUGACUCUUAAAGAAAAAUCAUUGCAUAACAAAUUCAUUGCAAAAGUAAGUGCAAGAACACAGUAACACAAGAAGAAAAGUGGCGUUGGUUCUUUGGGUGAUAUUCCAAAAUUAAGGCCUAGUUAUUUUAAUUUGUGGAGCAAUCUUUUCUGCAAAUAAGGUAUACACUUAGAUUGUGAAUUAAUAUAAUUUAGUUAUGUUGUAAAACAAAUGGGUUAGAUAUCUUAGGGUUACAUGAAUAUGAAUUAGAUCCAUACAUUUAAUUUUUCUUCAGUAACAAAGUAGAAAGAAGAGGGGGAAAGGAUUUUCCCAAGUCCUAUUAAAUACCUAAAUUAGAUGUUACCCAAAUAAAAUAAACACACAUGAACCUCCAAUAAAAACCUCUGCAACUUUUUCCAAUUUGAAUCUUUUGGUUCAUUUCAAUUACAGGAUACUCAUUUACUGUAGAAGCAAAAGUCCAAGAGUUAACAAGCACCUCACUUCGUGCAACAAGUACUAGAAAGGCCCUUAACCAUGUGAAUUUGCCUUAAAAAUAGAGAAAAAAGAAACUGAGAAUUGGAGUCUGUUAUUUGGAAUCUUUAAGCACAUAAAGAAUGAAUCAUGAAUUUCAACAUAUUAUGGCAAAGUGAUGAAUAAAGGUAAAAUUGCACAAAUUCACCCCUUUAUGUUUUCAUCAAGGCUUAACCUGGUCCUUGUAGGAAGGGGGUGUUUGGGAAUCUGUCCCGAUGAACAAAAUAUGGCCAAUUAUCACAGCUAAGAAUACUGAAUAGGUGGAAAAUCUCACCUUUAACAAUGGGCAAUUCUUUUGCUCUGAAUUGGAUGGAAUAAACGGCGGAGAAGCAGAAACUUUGCCUUCCUCUGGAUCCAUUGAUGGAGAAAAUGCAUGUGUUUUGAGAUACUUAGAGCUUCCCAUGCUAUAUGCGUCACUGGAAAUUCUUAGUGCAUCUAAAAUUGAGUAUGUCGAGAUAUUAUCAUCUCCUUCAAUGCAAUUUAGCAAUUCAGGCUCAAAGUAAAAUGACUUGUGAAGAUUUUCAGUCCCAGGAGGAUCUUCCAUUAAUGAACUCCUGAAUUGAUGGCCAAAAAAGAAUGAGUGAAAAAGAGACGGGCAACAUCAUUCAAAAAUGUAAAACAUGUAACAAGUAGGGGAAAAAAGAAAAAAAACUAGGAAUUUCCAUGGAUAGUGAAUGGCUCUAGUAUUUCAGGUGUAGCAUUAAAGGUACAGAAGAUUGUCAUAUGAUAAAGGUCACAUAAAGAAAAUGGGUGCCAUCACCUCAACAACUAAAUAUAUAUGAGAUCCAUUUGUAGGAUAUUUUCUCAAAAUACAUCUACCAUUUUUGUGAUGAAGGCAGCCAUGUUCCAUAAUUAACGCAAUCUCAGCAAUGGCAUAAUUAUAACAUGCAAGAAAAUUAUUGAAGCACUCAAUUUCCAUGGGAUGUUUGGGCUUGGCGCUAAUAAAAAUAUAUAUAUGACAGGCUAAAGCACUUCUGAUGCUACACGAUUUCCUACAGGCAUUAAAAGUAUCUUAAUCCCAGAAGUUAUGCUUGUACAAGAAUAGGUCAUCCAUCUGUUGGAAUCCUGCAAGCCCAUCAAGCUGGUAAUCCAGCUGCUGGUCACAAGAAAGAGCAGUUUGGUGAUGAAUAGACUCCUCUGAUGAUAUUCCCCCACCAAUACUUGAACUAGAUUGAUCUUUAUCAUCAUGGGCGGAACUCUCCAUCUCAACUUCAUUGUUGGAGAGAAUUUCACAAUUGAAGUUGAGUUCUUCCUGAUUCAAUUUUGAAUAAAUAACAAAGCCUUUGUUAGGAAACCCGAAAGUUUCUGACUCAUUUAUUCCCCAUUUUGACCAAUUUUCUGGUGAUGGGAACCUGUCAGAUAUUUCUUCAUCCUUUGGGACAACAAGGUCCUCAAUAAUGCUCCCAAAAUACCAGUCCAUGAUAAAUUAUCUGAGAUAAGGAAAAGAAAAUAUAUGAGAAAACAAAGAUAAACAAUAAGACAAUCUCUGUGACAAAUACCAUGAAAAUUUCAAAUUAUCGAUUCAUAUUAAAUAACCAAAUAGAUAAACCAUACAAAUAAGGAUAAAUGCUCAAAAUUGUCUUAUUAAACAAUACAAGCCUGAGGAGUUUCAACUCUCUCAACAAUAUAUCUUUUGUAUUCCGCAAGGAAAUAAAAGAAUAAGAAGGUUUAAUGAUUUCACAACUCCUUUCCUUUCCUUUCCUUUCCU